AAGAAGAGGAUGCACAGAUGCGCCGAAUCAUUGGCAAGGGCUUCUCAAUGGAUCCCAAGCGAAUUGUUUCAGCGUACUGGCUCCGAGCUGAUGAUAAACACCGUGAGGGGAAUUGGACUGACAGUAUCACAGGUAAACCCCUGCAAUACUUCAGCUUUGAAGAAAGCCAGCCUGACAACAGUGGUGGUUCGGAAGACUGCCUCGCUGUAAAUCCUUAUAUCAGCCGGUGGAACGACAUAAAUUGCAACUUUACCGCAGACGGUUAUUUGUGUGAAUUUACAGAUGAAUUGUAUUACUAGAUAUUUGAAUUUUGUCAUGGAAAAAAUAAAGCCAGGAAUACCAACAAGACACUAGAAAUUUAUCAUCAGCAAUAAA